GUAAGAAAACAUCCAUCAAUGCUAAUUUUCCCACAGUUUUUAGCUUUUUAUGAAUACUUUACAGUGUACAAAAAAAGAUGAAUUUCUAAAGUGCAACUUGAGAAAACUCUCUUAGUAAUUAGAGAGCAUUCCUAGCCAAAACUAAUGAGAUCUGAACCUUAAACAUGGGGUUGGUGCAGAGUUGAUUUUGAAGGCUUUAGAGGUGUUCAAGUCAAGAGUUCUGAAGAGCUUUCAGAGCUGAAUGCUAAACUGCUUUGAAUGGAGCGUAGCUCAGUGUCUGAAGUGCAUAUAUAUAUAUAUGGACCAUAAGCACACGCUAAUAAUUGCAUCAAAGCAGAGCAGAAGGUAUGCAACCAUUCUCAGUGUGUGUGGGAUAAUUACACAAGGAUGAAAUCAGUGUUUCUUCUGCCAGUUAAGCAAUCUUCCUUCUUCCCACACCUCCAUUACAGCCACAAGGUCAGCUGCUAUACUCUUUGUUCAGUAAAAUUUGCUCUUAUUGGAAGCACUGUGCUAUCUGUCUGUCUCCUUACGUCUCUUUGUUACAUUAAAUGAAAGCUCUCUUAGGUUCCUGCUAUGAUUUAAUGAUAGCUUUUAAUGAUAGAUGAUAUUUUGUAAAAAUAGAAUUUAAAAUUCAUGUUCAUGUUUUUUAACGCUGAUUUCUUUUCAACCUCUUUCACUUGAACCAUAAGGUUUUUCUCUAUAACACAGAGUAGACUGCAAUGAAUUACAGCAUCAGAAGUCGUGAUCUAUUGAAGGCAGGAGACUGAACAACAACAAUAAACAAAGAAAGUGCAGUUAUAAAUUUAAAAAUGAAAAUAUCUCUUAGUAAUUAUAGUCACUUGGAAUACCGCACAUACAUUAAAUUAUUCUCUUCCAAACAUUUCAGCUAUUCAGCCAAGACAGAAACAACUCCGUGCUCCUGGAUGGCCAAGUUACAAACGAGGUUGAUCUGUCUGAACUGCUGAAACUUGAUGACUCGCAAUCAACAGUCUGUAGAACAAUGCGGUUAACAGUGUGAAGAUGUGGAUUUUUUUCUGCCUCUAAAUGCUGGGUUCUGUGCUGGGCCAGUAAGACCCACAGUCUACGCCACAACCUUGCAGAAGGAUCAGGAGCAUGUGCUAACGCAAUCACAAGAGCAGUAUUUCCCAUGAAGAAAAUUUGCUGUAAUGAGUUUUUCUUACUGAGAGUGACCAAAGCAGAACAUAGGAAGGAGUGCAGCAAAUCAAAGAAGCAAAGAAAAGGUUGGGAAGACAGACAAGGUAUGUGAACAUAUUUUUCAUGGACAUUUUGACUUUCUUGCUAUAUUAAUUUAUGUCACAUAGUUUUAUGUCACGGUGGCAGUGCCCUUAAUCGGAACAAAAUUCUAUCUCUGACAUAAUACAAUAAGGACAAGCAUUUACAGAUCUAACUUCAAUUUGACUGUCUGUGGUGAAAUCAAUGAGAGGCAGAAAAACUUAAGUAUGCUUACAGAUCUUGUGAUUGUUCUGUUCAAACAGAAUUCUUCAAAUCCAUGGAUAGUUUGAUUAGGUUACUGCUUAUAGAUAGUUGGUACAUGCCUCAUGGACAAAAGUAAAUAUUCAUUUCAGAUCUCAAUCCCAUCAUCAGGUGCCUACAAAUUUAUUACUGUGAAUUGAAAGAUUUGCAGGAUUGCCUUUGUAGAAUUGUGAAAUCUGACAUAGAUCCUUGGAAUUGCAUGUUGACCAUAAGUGAACAGAAGGAUAAGUGCUGCUGUUCUCCUCUGGCUCAUUUUUAGUUUUGGGAUUCCUGUAGGCAGUGCUGAAUGUGAACCCCUUCAAUGCUGACCCCUCCUACAUUCCCAUAUGCAGCUGCACAUUCUAAAUGCUGUGAAAAAAAAUCACACAGUACAGUGUGAUCUGCAAGCAUUUAUACAAUAGAUGAACCACAGUGACUGUUCAAGCUUGAACUGGGUGUUAUAGUUUAUGCAAGUUCAGGCAUGUUUUGAAAUGAAGAGAGGUAGGAAAAGAUAAAUCAUACCUUUGUUUCUGUGAAGCAUUUUUCCAUAAAAACCCAAAUGUUGAUGCCUAAACAAGGCCAAAAAAUAUAUCGUCCCUACCUUUCCUUAAGGGUGUUUGCUUGCACAGUGCUAGGAUCAUCUGUAGUUGAGACAAGAUUCACACUUCUCCCAGGUCCAGAUGGCACUUCUGUGCUGCUGGGACGGUCUAGCAAAGCUGCUCCUUGUUUCUGAGCAGGUGACACUGAACCAUCCCAAGGUGUAAGUUCAGCCAGCUUCAAUGCUUUGCUGAGCUUGCUGUCAAUGGGAGGGAGCUGGCUGGGCUCUGUUGUUGCUCCAGCCAGUUCCCACAGCAGCUCCUUGGCACCCUGCUGGGCUGCAGUAGGGUAUCGGCGUGAGCAACGCUGCAGAGCCGUGGGCUGCUCCUGGGUAUGUCUCCUCAGUUCCUUGCUCUGCCCAGAUAACAGGCACUAGGAUAUAGAAUUGCUCUCCUCCAACUCCUUUUCUUUUCCUGCUGUAUAGGGACAUGCAUAUAUUUAACAUAUACGUUCACAAACUGUUAACCUUAGUACUAUUUUCUCUUUUCCUACCUUAACCAAAGCUUCAUUUUAUUUCGAGCACUGUAAUUAAUUGACUCAGCAGCACAGUCAAGGAUACACCCCCUGGGUGCUUCAGCCUUUUACACAGAAGAUCCCAGGGUGUCGAGGGUCACUUUCAAGGCUUGUAUCUAUCUCAGGCAUUUGGAGAUCAAGUCCAAGUGGUCUUUGGAACUGCUUCAUACUCUGAAAUCGCGUUCCUCCAAAGCUGAUAUCUCCUGUUUUGGACACAAUAUCCAAAUGUGUAGAUAACAGAUGUUGCCCUUGGGUGGAAGACCUUCAUUCUCCUGGAUGGUGGUCUUAGACAUAGCAUUCCAACCAAGGAAACCACAGUCAACGAAAAAAAAACCCAACCCCCAUCCCAAAUUGUGUACGGAGUCCUGGCAACUCAAGCAGGGCCAAACUGAUGUUGAACAGAACUUAAUUAUUUUAAUUUUAUUCACACUGAGUCUUCAUCUGUGUUGACAGUACUCUUUUCCAGUCUACUUCACAAUGACAGGCAGAAUCCAAAUGCCAUUCAAAUGAAAGUAUGAGGAAGCCAGGGAUGGACUCCUAGCAAACAAACAAAAACAGUUAGACAUUUUUACUUCAAAAGCACAGCAGUGGUUUACCAGCAAGGACUGUACUCAUUAAUGCUGUCUUAUUUGCGCUGCUACCUAUUACAAUUUUUAAUGUUGCUUUGAAAAAAAAAAAAACCAUUUUUAAGAGCCAACUGUUUCACUGCUUUGAAAUCUCUUUGCCCAAGAGUGAAUCUUUGCAUUUGUUUUCAAAACAGUCAGUUCUUUCGUGUGGAAGCCAUGCAAGUAAGUUGGUACACAUUGUUAGUACAUCAGUCUUCAAAGACAAAUGAAAAAUAAAGGGCUUCCUUAUUUGAGACCACUUUUCUGCUCACCGCCUCCUUUCCCGUUUCCUUUCCUUAUUUGUCCUCCAGCAGCAGCUAAUGCAGCCAUGCCACGGUGUUGAAGCGCAACGUCGGGUGAAAUGCAGGCAUUGUGUGGAGCCGUGAGAGCGCUAGCAGUACACGGCACGUGGGAACACAUUCAGGCCUACACCAAUGAGAAGAAACAGGAAAGGCUGUGAGUCUUGGGCAUCCCACUGCCUUUGCUGUGCUGAUUCCUGGGGAAGCAGAAGAAGAGCUCCAGCAGCAGCCUCACAUGGGCCCAGCACUGGGAGCAGAAGCUCAGCAUCACCCACUACAGCCUCCUUUCUACAGCACUGCCAGGUGGGUGCAAGGUGCUCAGGGGAGCCCUAGAGGUAAUGGGCUGAGCUGAGGGGUGCCAGCUGCUCCUUAACGUCAGGAGUAUGAGGGUCACAAUGAAGGUCUGGAAGAAACUAAGAGUAUUUUUUAAUCAAUAAUUCUAAGUUUCUCUCUCCUGGCCUUAUGCCAGGUCUUAGUGUUACUCUAAUGAAAACUGUAGAAAAUGUAUACACACAUAAGCUUGCUUAGCUAGGAAAUGAAAAAAUAACGAACAUUUACAGCCAGUAAUCAAAAUGAUAAGCAAUCCAUCUGUUGGCAGAGGAGCAUUUUAUAUGACCAGUGAUGCAGAAGGCUCCUGCAGGUAAGCUACAGCAGCAAUCCAGCUGAGGCACUGCACCCUACCAGCUCUAGGAGCUAUGUGAGGUGGUGCUGCUGAUAUCAGCCUCUGGAGCUGACCUGGUGCUGCAGGAACCUGCUGCUGUGCUGGGUCUUGUUCCACAGGGCAGGCUCUUCUCAUAAACUAUGUGGGGAAUUAAUAUAAUUAUACCUGUGCAAGUAGGAGGAAAAUUAAAACAUAUGUUAUCAGUUCCUAAAAAAUCUCUGAGUAGCCACCAAAGUAGUUGUAUAGUCUACAAAGCACAGUUGGAAAGAGUACUGCAGUGAGAUAGCAAAGGAACAAACAGAGAAGAACUGCUCACCUGUAUGCAAAGAUUUAGGCUCACACUGAAAAGCUCCACAAAGGAGGGAUCACCACAAGGAGAUUCUUCCCCAGUGUUAGUCAGCCCUUAAAUGGGGUCUGGGAGGGGUGGAAUGUGGUCACACAGCUUCUGGUCACAUAGCUGAAUUGCUUUCACCUGUGCUCCCACAGCUGAUUCAGUCCUUGCCUCAGGUGAUCAAUUGGUGGUUCAGGCUGUGAUUCAACAGUUCCCAUGCAGUACUUUAUCCAAACACUGAACAACCGUGCUGUACCUUCAUAGCAACGUGAGGAGUUCUACACGUUGAGAGAUGACUGCCUCAACUUUCAGCUUUCAGCCCUGACUCUUCUUAAAGGUGAGUUUUUGGUUGGCAGAGAGUGAUUGUGAAAUUUAGAGCCAUAAUUUUUCUUUGGUAUGAUGGAGUUUUGUAGGUUGGUUGUAGCAGUUUUGUAAGUUGGUUUCAAAAUUGCACUUUUACUCUGCUAAUUAGGUGGUAUUGACCACCAACUUGAACUAGGUAGUGUUACAAGUAUGAUGUGUAAGUGUUGUGUCAGAGGACGAGGAAUGUUGUUGCCUGAACCACAGCUGUAAUGCUGUACCUGGCCUUGUUUACAUUGCUGAAGCUCUGUGGAGUGCAGUUCUUCUGUGGAAAAUGGAAAUGAAUGGUAUUUGCCUAUCACAAAAGAGUGCUACAGUAGGUUGUUAGCUCCACUGGAUUGUCUACGUGAAGGUGUACAGAACUGUUCAGAAAUCUCCACUAGCUACUUGGGAUUUGGACUUGUGUUUUUGUAGCUCUGCUAACUAAAUUCCAGUGUAACAAUUGCAAUAGAUUCUUCGUAUGGUUCUUCUUUUAUUUUGCUUGUUAUUGGAAAGGAACUUCUAAUCUAUGCACCAGGCUCAGCAGCAGUGCAGGCAGGAAAGGACCCGAACUUUAGAGCUUCUGUCAGUUUGGACUGGAAAUAAUUGUGCAAAGGAUUGUGAGAUUUUGCUGUCUUCAAAUGUGAAAUGUACUUGAGCAACAGUUUAUCUUUUAGUGUAACUUCAAUUCAAAUCUUAGCUUCAGAUACUAUGAUUUUGACUUUUCCUAAUAAAAAAUCCAGGUGGAAGUGACUAGAAAUAGGAAGCAAAUACCUAAUUUGCAGAAAAAUGCCUUGGCGGUAGUGAAGUGAGAGCGCCUGACAGACUGCCUCAUGGUGUUCAUUCUUACUGAGCUACAGUGAAGGCAGAUGAAGCAUAAAUUACUCAGUAAGCAAAUGCCUUGUUUUCUCUGUAACUCCACCUCUUUGGGGCAUCCUGCCCUGUCCCCACCCCUCGCACUUGUCUGCUUGUCUUAAUGGCAGUAUUCACGCAGCUGGUAAUUUAUGUGUCUGAGAGAGAAGAUUUACACAGAGCCUUCCCUUCAGUUAUUCAGAAAAUGUGAGAUACAACACGUGAUUUGUUAGGUCCCAAACUCUUAACUUAAAAGUCACGAACAUCUUAAUGGCUGGGCUCGAGCAAGAGAAGUUUUAUAUGCAAUAACUUGAGCGAGAAGCUGGUUCUGAGGUCCUCACUUUACGCCUAGUUACAAAAGUUUGUCUUCAAAAUAAAUACAAUGCCUAUUGUAACAUAAGCACACAGUAAUUUGGCUUUGGUUGAAGCAGUUCGAUGCGCUGCUCUGGCAGACAGACGGAGCUGAUCCAGUUACGGAGACCUGCUUGAUUCGGUCGGUGUCUUGUGUCAUAAACACGAAUUGUUAAUUUCAUAUUACUCAUAACAGGCGCACUGUGAAUGUUUGCAGCGUUUAUAGGAUAUCAGUUACAAAUGUGAUUAUACCAGCCAUUCCUCAGGACUGACACCAGUUUCAAAUUAGAAGCUGACAGGCCUCACCUGCUCCUGAGUUCACCGACAGGUCACCUUCUUGUCAUUUUGGCUGUCCCCCCCCUCAGAAUGACAUCUGUGUUCAUAAAGGGACAGUGAGGGACUCUAAGUUGUUAGAAUUGUUGAAGAAUAAGAAUAAGGUGUCAUCUACUCCAAUAACGUAGUACUCAACUUUGGCCUUUCAGAUGGCGUGAUGCUUGUAGCACCUGACAAUGUUUCCAGAUACAAGAAUAGCCAGAUCGGAGGGGCAGCAGUUGUUCCCUCUUCUACGCACGGAUGCUAGGCAUUCAGCCCAGUGCUAGCCACACAGUAGAGGCAACCUCAGAGUAUUCAGCAAGGGCUUUCAAAAUACCUUUACUUUUUACAUAAAGGGAUAGCACGUUAGCUUAAAUUAAAUCAUUCAGAGGAUGUUAUUACAUAGUCAGAUUUUAAAGCAACCUGUGAAAGGCAAAAGGUAAAUACUGUUAAACAUACAACUAGAUAAAAUAUAUUUGAAGCCUUUUCAAUUUGUUGGACAUCUGCAUGAAUCUCUGCGUACUGUGGGUAUAGAUGCAAACCGUGAUGUUACGUGGAAUUGUCCUAGCACUUAAAAACACAUAUUUCUUCCUUUCUAAGGAAGACUUUUCGCAUUUGCUCGAUUGCUGUAACGCAGUUGAGAUAGGGCAGUCCAAUUACUCUGCCCAGACACUUCUCAAAACUCAGAAAAAGGGCAUCCCUCUUCCAACUCAGGUUCAUAAUUAGCUUAUUUCUGUCAGUGAACGCACAGAGAUGUCAGAUCCAAACAACCUCAAACUGUUCAGAACAGAGAUUUGGGCUCCUCUGCAUUUCAAGUUUACUGAAUAAGUGCAGAAACCAAUACAUGCAUGCCUCAGAUGGAACAGCUGUGCAUCUGUCUCCUUAAUGCAUGGGUUUUACAGGAAGCUAAGCAUGUGCAUACGUAUAAGCCCACUGAAGUUGCCUGCCCCAUUGCUGCUGUAUGUAGAGAGGAAGGUCUGUGGGUGAGCUCCCAGCUGUGGGCUGUGAAAGCUUUUCUCCUGGCACCUCCAGGGGCUGGACAGACUUACACUCACCUUGAGCUCAGUUGUGUGCUGGUGAGAAAAGAGCAGAGAUGUUCGUGAGAGGGUGGGAAAGGAUAAACAAGAUGUUCAAUUGCACUUUGCCAAAUGAAGGACUCAGAGCAGCCAAGGAAAAUCUUUUUUUUCUUUUUUCCUCACUAAAUUAAACCUUUAUUUUUGUCUUAGACACUGUGGCUAGCAGAACUGUGAGGAUGUUCACAGUUAUCGCAGUUGCCAUCAUUCUCUGAAAUCUGUCCUUGAUUUUAUUUUCUGCUUCAGGAAAUAUUAUAGUAUUGUUAUUUUAUCUAUAUUAAAUAAACCUAAGGCCUGACUCUUCAUGGUGUAAACAAGCAUGACUUCAGGAAAGCAGUGCUGAAUCACGCCAUCUGUGUGUCUGAGUCUUAAUAUAAAAAGGAACAUGUUACUAGAGAGUAAACAGAAGUAAACAUUUGUUAUGGAAACUCACGUUAUCAACCCAGACACCCCCCUCCGGCGUUUAGCAGGAAAAAAACCCACCUAUGGUAGAUUUACAGAAGCCACCGCUUUUUUUUUUUAAUGAUUUGGAUAUUGAUCAUUUUUAAUCUUCUUCUCAGAACAACCGGGAGAUCUAUUAUAGCUUGAGCCAGCCAUGAAAAGCAGGUCCGUUCUUUAACCUGCCCCAAUUCACUUGGACAUAUUUUAUAUCUCCAGGGAUUCAGCCACAAAGUCCAUUAGAGCAUCAGAUGCAGUGAGGUCAAAUCAAUUGUCCAUACUGCAGACAAGGUAACCAUCAUUUACUGUAAUUCUCCCCCGUCAUGGUAGAGGAGAGGAAAGGUUAAAAGCUGUAUUACCAUGAGGCUGUCUCAUCUAUCUUUCAGUAUAUUGGUAAUACCUAAACAUUGCUUAAGGAACUGAAUGCACAAUCUUAAAUCUGCGUUAGAAUGGAUUUAGAGGUUAGAUUGCCAACUUGCAAAAUUUGCGAAUGAUGAUUUCUUCAAAGAAAAGCAGAAAAAAUGAAAAUUUUAAAACAAAAAGCUUAAAAUAUAUUGUCACGUCUGACACAGCCGAUCUGAAGCUAUACUGAACGUUCAUCUCACAAUGACCCGAAUGACUGCUAUUUAUCCUUCCCUAUACAUACAUAUAUUUACCUAUGAAGUAAUUUGCUGUCAUCUCUUUAAGGUGGAGAUGCUAUGACAGUCCAAAAACAAAAGAGGAAGUAAAUUCAGGAUGUAUAUUUUUGCACUGUAAAUCAAGCCCUUAUGUGUUUGCACUCUACGAUGGGCAAUAAUAAUUGACUGAAGCAAUCACUGCUGUGGGAAAACAAACGUCCUGGCAGUGUCGCAUGUGAAGGUCAAGCCUGAUGACACAGUAAGCACCUGAACUCUCACUGACUCCUGGGGAGGCGGCCGCUGAGCACCUCCCGGAGCUCUCCUGGCAGGGACAGAUUUACGCAGCCGCCGGGCAGGGGGUGAGGAUGCUUUUUCGCUCCCACCUCCUUCCGUUGGGUCUGCAAAGUCAUUUAUUUCCAUUACAUGUUCUCUCUGGCUCCUCUGCUCGGUAUGUCAGCUGCAUGAAACCAGAGAGAAAAGGCGCUUCUGUGCUUCCAGUGACUGUGCAUCCCUCCUCCUUCAAACAAUUGUGCUGGCCCCAAUUCACUUCACGCAAGCUGGUGCAUUGUUUGCAUGCAGGGGAGCUGUGUCCACUGCACACGCGUGUGAAAGCUGUGGCACCAUGGCCCAGAUCUUGUUGGACAUUGUUGAAGCAGGAAGCAAUAAACCCAGCUUUAUUCACUUGCUUAUUUGCCUUUUCUAGGUUAAUCUUUUCUCUUUCCCUGGAUUUCUUUAAUCCUGGGAUGUUUUCAUUGAGAAAGUGAUUGAAUGAAGAGGCAUUUAGAUUUUCUGUAUUAUGGAAAUGUUUUCACAGCUGUCAGAACCAGUAAUUUUGUCCUUCUGUUUCAGAAGCUAGGUUCUAAGCAAACGUACACAUCCGUUGUUUAAAAUAGAGGCAAAGAAAUAAGGAAUAGAAAAUAGUCACUGCAGUACAAGUGUGUAUUUCUGAGGCUGACGUAUAUUCUGACAUACGUUCACGGUAACUGUAUUGGGAGACAAUGGAUGAACGCAGUGGGAGUGUAAGAGCUGAUGAUGUACGUUACAGAUAAUAAAUAUUUUUGUACGGAAGCUUAUUUGUAAAACUUAGAGUUUAACACUCAGCUCAAUAAAUUCCACUUUCAGGUAAUGUAGGCAUUCAAUAACCAUAAAAAGGAACCGGUAAAAGUUUUGUGUGCGCUGAAGGAGAGAGAAAUGUGCUUUAGAUUAGGUGUUACAUACCUUUCACUUAGCUGCUUUUCCUUCUCUGUUUCCUCUUUUCAUGAUUUUCUUUAUUAUUACCUACUCUCUGGGCUCCUUUUCCUCAGUCUGUGUCGCCCAUCACCUCUGAAUUCAUCCCUAUGAAUGUUUAUGCACAGGUCUUUCGCAACAGUGCAGACUGGCAUUG
ensembl:lncRNA